GAGCUGAAAGCAUCUAAGCUCGAAGUCAUCCGAAAGACGAGGCAUCUCAGGGGACUCGUAGAAGACGAGUUUGAUAGACAGCGGGUGUAAGUACCGAGGUUCGCCGAGGUAUUCAGCCCAGCUGCACUAACCCCCCGAG
rnacentral:rRNA from 1 species